rnacentral:rRNA from 1 species
UACGAAGGGGGCUAGCGUUGCUCGGAAUCACUGGGCGUAAAGGGUGCGUAGGCGGGGUCUUUUAAGUCAGGGGUGAAAUCCUGGAGCUCAACUCCAGAACUGCCUUUGAUACUGAGGAUCUUGAGUACGGGAGAGGUGAGUGGAACUGCGAGUGUAGAGGUGAAAUUCGUAGAUAUUCGCAAGAACACCAGUGGCGAAGGCGGCUCACUGGCCCGUAACUGACGCUGAGGCACGAAAGCGUGGGGAGCGAACGAGG